rnacentral:sRNA from 1 species
UGAAGGGCCCGCGACGGGGGGCCCCCCGCAGAAUCUGGCCCGGCGUAAAGCCGGGCUUUUCUUUUUGCGGC